rnacentral:rRNA from 1 species
GACGAACGCUGGCGGCGUGCCUAACACAUACAAGUCAACUUGACUGAAGGAGCAAUCUGACAGUAGAGUGGCGCAAGGGUGCGUAACGCGUAAGUAACUUGCCCCAAGGUAAGGAAUAACGUCGAGAAAUCGGCGCUAAUACCUCAUAAUGCAGCGGAUCCGCAUGGAUAUGUUGUUAAAGGUUUACCGCCUUGGGAUAGGCUUGCGUCUGAUUAGUUAGUUGGUGUGGUAACGGCACACCAAGGCUACGAUCAGUAACUGGUCUGAGAGGAUGAUCAGUCACACUGGAACUGAGACACGGUCCAGACUCCUACGGGAGGCAGCAGUGAGGAAUAUUGGGCAAUGCUCGAAAGAGUGACCCAGCAACGCCGCGUGGAGGAUGAAGGUAUUCUAUAUCGUAAACUCCUGUGAGAGCAGACGAAAGACAGAUUAUUAAUCUGGAUGACUGUAUGCUCAGAGGAAGCCCCGGCUAAC